rnacentral:rRNA from 1 species
CGCGGCCUAUCAGCUUGUUGGCGAGGUAACGGCUCACCAAGGCAACGACGGGUAGCUGGUCUGAGAGGAUGGCCAGCCACAUUGGGACUGAGAUACGGCCCAGACUCCUACGGGAGGCAGCAGUGGGGAAUCUUGCGCAAUGGCCUAACGGCUGACGCAGCGACGCCGCGUGUAGGAUGAAGCUCUUCGGAGUGUAAACUACUGUUGCCCGGGACGAAUAGCUCGAUUAAUCGAGCCUGACAGUACCGGGUGAGGAAGCACUGGCUAACUCCGUGCCAGCAGCCGCGGUAAUACGGGGGGUGCGAGCGUUGUCCGGAAUCACUGGGCGUAAAGGGUGCGUAGGUGGUUUGAUAAGGGUGUGGUGAAAGUCCGGGGCUCAACCCCGGAUCUGCCGUGCCGACUGUCAAACUCGAGGACUGUAGAGGCAGACGGAAUUCCGGGUGUAGCGGUGGAAUGCGUAGAGAUCCGGAGGAAGACCGGUGGCGAAGGCGGUCUGCUGGGCAGUUUCUGACACUGAGGCGCGACAGCGUGGGGAGCAAACAGGAUUAGAUACCCUGGUAGUCCACGCCGUAAACGAUGGGUACUAGGUGCCUGGGGGAGCGACCCUCUGGGUGCCGGCGCUAACGCAGGAAGUACCCCGCCUGGGAGUACGG